UUUCCGUAGGUGAACCUGCGGAAGGAUCAUUAUUGUAUAACGGAGGUGCGAGGGCUGUCGCUGACCCGAAAGGUCGUGCACGCCCGAGUGCCCUCACACACAUCCAUCUCACCCCUAUGUGCACCACCGCGUGGGUCCCCCUUUGGCUUGUUCGGAGGGGGGCUUACGUUUUCACACAAACUUUGUAUGCAGUGUAGAAUGUAUUUUUUGUUUUUGCGAUCACGCAAUCAAUACAACUUUCAACAACGGAUCUCUUGGCUCCC
rnacentral:misc_RNA from 1 species